rnacentral:misc_RNA from 1 species
UUUCCGUAUGUGAACCUGCGGAAGGAUCAUUAUUGUAUAACCGAGGUGCGAGGGCUGUCGCUGACCCGAAAGGUCGUGCACGCCCGAGUGCCCUCACACACAUCCAUCUCACCCCUAUGUGCACCACCGCGUGGGUCCCCCUUUGGCUUGUUCGGAGGGGGGCUUACGUUUUCACACAAACUUUGUAUGCAGUGUAGAAUGUAUUUUUUGUUUUUGCGAUCACGCAAUCAAUACAACUUUCAACAACGGAUCUCUUGGCUCUC